rnacentral:rRNA from 1 species
AAGCGUGCGCAGGCGGUUCGGAAAGAAGGAUGUGAAAUCCCAGGGCUUAACCUUGGAACUGCAUUCUUAACUACCGGGCUAGAGUAUGUCAGAGGGGGGUGGAAUUCCGCGUGUAGCAGUGAAAUGCGUAGAUAUGCGGAGGAACACCGAUGGCGAAGGCAGCCCCCUGGGAUAAUACUGACGCUCAUGCACGAAAGCGUGGGGAGCAAACAGGAUUAGAUACCCCUGGU